rnacentral:rRNA from 1 species
GACGAACGCUGGCGGCGUGCUUAACACAUGCAAGUCGAACGGCAAAGCUCUAGCUUGCUGGAGUGGAUCAGUGGCGAACGGGUGAGUACACGUGAGCAACCUGCCCCUGACUUUGGAAUAAGCGCUGGAAACGGCGUCUUAUACUGGUAACGCGAAGGGUCCGCAUGGGCACUUUCUGGAAAGUGUUUCGGUUGGGGAUGGGCUCGGGGCCUAUCAGCUUGUUUGUGAGGUAAUGGCUCACCCAGGCGACGACGGGUAGCCGGCCUGAGAGGGCGACCGGCCACACUGGGACUGAGACACGGCCCAGACUCCUACGGGAGGCAGCAGUGGGGAAUAUUGCACAGUGGGCGAAAGCCUGAUGCAGCGACGCCGCGUGAGGGAUGACGGCCUUCGGGUUGUAAACCUCUUUCAGCAGGGAAGAAGCGAAAGUGACGGUACCUGCAGAAGAAGCACCGGCUAACUACGUG